AAAAGAGCUUGGGGUUUUUCACACCGCUGCAGAUGACACUUUCCUACCGACUCUGGAAUUCUCUUGCUCAUUCUCCGGGUUGUUUCUGGGUGUUCGUCAUGGCAGUGAAAGGAAACACCAGGAUUUCCCUAGAAAGCCAUCCCGUUCACCUGAUCGGUGGCAUGGAGGACAUUCACAUCCUCCUUGAGUUUCGCAUUUGAAAGUGAGGGGCGGGUGCGUGCAGCAGGUCCCCCACCCCCACCCCACCCCGCGCCCCGAACGUGCCUCCCGCAGUGGCACUAGGAGUGUGUGCAAUGAAAGGGACAGGACACCAGACACCAGAGGACCAUUCUGACCCUCCUUUCCUUCUCUCUUCAGAAAGCAGGAAAUAAAUCUCUUGGGUGAAAGAAAAGUGUGCUCCCUGCCACGAAAUUUGGGGGGGGGGGGUGUCGGGUUGGCGAUAAGGACUUCACUGCUCCCAUGGCUCCUGCAAUGUUCACGAAUCCUCCAAAUCCUCAAGGCAAGAUGGUUCACAACCAAUACAUGAGCGAGCUGUCAGAGACACCAGGGACUGAAACACUCCGUAUUAGGGAGGGGUCCUCAC